UAUAUUUUUUUAAUGUAACUGACAUCUACAUAAGUAUUCAGGCCCUUUACUCAGUACUUUGUUGAAGCACCUUUGGCAGCGAUUACAGCCUCAAGUCUUCUUGGGUAUGACGCUACAAGCUUGGCACACCUGUAUUUUGGGAGUUUCUCCCAUUUCUUCUUUGCAGAUCCUCUCAAGCACUGUCAGGUUGGAUGGGGAGCGUGGGCAGCUCUAUUCAGAUCUCUCCCAGAGAUGUUCGAUCUGGUUCAAAUUUGAGUCUCGUAGCAACGGGUCUGAAUACUUAUGUAAAUAAGGUACAGUUGAAGUCUGAAGUUUACAUACACCUUAGCCAAAUACAUUUAAACUCAGUUUUUUACAAUUCCUGACAUUUAAUCCUAGUAAAAAUUCCCUGUCUUAGGUCAGUUAGGAUCACCACUUUAUUUUAAGAAUGUCAAAUGUCAUAACAAUAGCAGAGUGAUAUAUUUCAGCUUUUAUGUCUUCCAUCACAUUCCCAGUGGGUCAGAAGUUUACAUACACUCAAUUAGUAUUUGGUAGCAUUGCCUUUAAAUAGAUUAACUUGGGUCAAAUGUUUCAGGUAGCCUUCCACAAGCUUCCCACAAGUCAGUUUUGUAGGCCUCCUUGCUCGCACACGUUAUUUCAAUUUUGCCCACAAAUUUUCUAUAGGAUUAAGGUCAGGUCUUUGAUGGCCAUUCCAAUACCUUGACUUUGUUUUCCUUAAGCCAUUUUUGCCACAACUUUGGAAGUAUGCUUGGGGUCAUUGUCCAUUUGGAAGACCCAUUUGCAACCAAGCUUUAACUUCCUGACUGAUGUCUUGAGAUGUUGCUUCAAUAUAUCCCCAUAAUUUUCCUAGCUCAUGAUGCCAUCUAUUUUGUGAAGUGCACCAGUCCCUCCUGCAGCAAAGCACCCCCACAACAUGAUACUGCCCCCCGUGCUUCACGGUUGGGAUGGUGUUCUUCGGCUUGCAAGCGUCCUCCUUUUUCCUCCAAACAUAACGAUGGUCAUUAUGCCCAAACAGUUCUAUUUUUGUUUCAUCAGACCGGAGGACAUUUCUCCAAAAAGUACGAUCUUUGUCCUCAUGUGCAGUUGCAAACCGUAGUCUGGCUUUUUUAUGGCUGUUUUUGAGCAGUGGCUUCUUCCUUGCUGAGCGGCCUUUCAGGUUAUGUCGAUAUAGGACUCGUUUUAAUGUGGAUAUAGAUACUUUGUACCUGUUUCCACUAGCAUCUUCAGAGGGUCCUUUGCUGCUGUUCUGGGAUUGAUUUGCACUUUUCGCACCAAAGUAUGUUCAUCUCUAGGAGACAGAACGCGUCUCCUUCCUGAGCGGUAUGAUGGCUGUGUGGUUCUGUGGUGUUUAUACUUGCGUACUAUUGUUUGUACAGAUGAACAUGAUACUUUCAGGCGUUUGGAAAUUGCUCCUAAGGAUGAACCAGACUUGUGGAGGUCUACAAUUUGUUUUCUGAGGUCUUGGCUGAUUUCUUUUGAUUUUCCUAUGAUGUCAAGCAAAGAUGCACUGAGUUUGAAGGUAGGCCUUGAAAUACAUCCACAGGUACACCUCCAAUUGACUUAGGCUAAUUGACAUCAUUUAUCAGAAGCUUCUAAAGCCAUGACAUUUUCUGGAAUUUUCCAAGCUGUUUAAAGGCACAGUCAACUUGGUGUAUGUAAACGUCUGACCCACUGGAAUUGUGAUACAGAUUAUUUCACUUAUAACUGAUGUAUGUAAACAAUUGGUGAAAAAAUUACUUGUGUCAUGCACAAAGUAGAUGUCCUAAACGACUUGCCAAAACUAUAGUUUGUUAACAAGAAAUUUGUGGAGUGGUUGAAAAACGAGUUUUAAUGACUCCAACCUAAGUGUAUGUAAACUUCCGACUUCAACUGUAUGUCCCAGCUGCUUGCUGUAGUUUUGAAGUAAUUGUGAAAAAACAGGCCUGCCAGCAACUAUUAGUUCUGUUGAGCACCGUGGCACCAAAUCAACAUCCGAACAUUUUAUUCCCAGCCCGUUGUUCUGCGUCACAAUUCCAUCUUCGCUAUUGUUGGCAAUGAGACCAGGCCGCGUUAACCUUGUAGGCUCACCUCAGGUAACUUAAUAUUAACAAGCUCACUGUUCGCCUGGGUACACGUUGUGGUGAUCCAAAGUGCAAUCGAUGGCUGGCGCAUAGCCAUCAAACGUUAAACAUUAUCUGCUGUAGAUUCCUAUGUUGUUGAUGUUAAAAUUGUUUGUUGGUCUGUGGUGUGUAAUGAGGAGCAACCAGACACUGCACUUGACACAUUUAUGAAAUUGCUUAUCUCAGUUACAAAUAAGCAUGCACCCAUUAAGAAAAUAACAGUACAAACUGUAAAAUUCCUGUGGAUUGAUGAGGAAUUAAAAAAUAGUAUGGUUGAGAGGGAUGGGCAAAAUAAAUGGCAAAUAGAUCUGACUAUACAACCAAUUGUCAUAGGUACUGCAAAUUGAGAAAUCAUGUGACUAACCUAAAAAAAGAAGACACUACACUAUGAAACAAAAAUAAAUGACAUAAGGUGAACAAAAAGGUGAACUUCGCUCCCUCUCACAAGGGGUCUGUGGACGUCGGGCCCUCAUACCACCCUCAUGGAGUCUGCAAGUUGAAAGUUGCAACCAUGAAAAACAGUUUUCCAUAAACAAGGUCUAAAUCAUGUUUGAUGCACUGUAAGUAAAAUUUUUGCAGUACUGUUUAACCUGUUUGGGCUAGGGGGCAGUGUUGAGAAUUUUGGAAAAAAUAUGUGCCCAUUUUUAACUGCCUCCUACACCAACUCAGAAGCUAGAAUAUGCAUAUUAUUGUUCAGGUUUGGAUAGAAAACACCCUAAAGUUUCUAAAACUGUUUGAAUGGUGUCUGUGAGUAUAACAGAACUCCUAUGGCAGGCAAAAACCUGACAAGGUUUCAUGCAGGAAGUGGCCUGUUUGACAAGGAGUCGUGCGUCUUGCAUCUGUUUAUUGAAGAGUAAGGAUCUUAGCUGUAACGUGACAAUUCCCAGGGCUCCAAUAGGCUCUCAGAAGCCGGGAAAAUCAUGAAGGUUGACGAGGCAGCCUCAGGCUGAAACAGAUUAUCGCCUUAUUCAAGUGUCCCAUUAGGUGACAAUGGAAUGAGGCGCGUGCGCGAUUAGCCCCCCGUGGAGUAUUUUCAUUAGGCUUUUUAGUUUAUUGCAGAUUCCCGGUCGGAAUAUUAUCGCUUUUCUACGAGAUAAAUGGCAUAAAAAUUGGUUUUAAACAGCGGUUGACAUGCUUCGAAGUACGGUAAUGGAAUAUUUAGACAUUUCUUGUCACGCCAUGCGCACGACCGUGGAUUACCAUUCUGAUAGUGUCUAGAACGCACGAACAAAACGCCGCUAUUCGGAUAUAACGAUGGAUUAUUUUGGACCAAACCUACAUUUGUUAUUGAAGUAGCAGUCCUGGCUGUGUAUUCUGACGAAGACAACAAAAGGUAAUGAAACUUUAAUAAUAGUAAAUAUGAUUAUGGUGAGUGGUAAACUUGCCGGGUGUCUAAAUAGCGAGCCCGUGAUGCCUGGGCUAUGUACUUAGAAUAUUGCAAAAUGUGCUUCAUCCGAAAAGCUAUUUUAAAAUCGGACAUAUCGAGUGCAUAGAGGAGUAAUGUAUCUAUAAUUCUUAAAAUAAUUGUUAUGCUUUUUGUGAACGUUUAUCGUGAGUAAUUUAGCAAACUGUUAGUAAAUUCCCCUGAAGUUUGCGGGGGGUAUGCUUUUUCUGAACGUCACAUGCUAAUGUAAAAAGCUGUUUUUUGAUAUAAAUAUGAACUUGAUUGAACAGACAUGCAUGUAUUGUAUAACAUAAUGUCCUAGGUGUGUCAUCUGAUGAAGAUCAUAAAAGGUUAGUGCUGCAUUUAGCUGUGGUUUGGGUUUUUGGUGACAUAUGCUAGCUUGAAAAAUGGGUGUCUGAUUAUUUCUGGCUGGGCACUCUCCUGACAUAAUCUAAUGUUUUGCUUUCGUUGUAAAGCCUUUUUGAAAUCGGACAGUGUGGUUAGAUUAACGAGAGUCUUAUCUUUAAAUGGCUGUAAAAUAGUCAUAUGUUUGAGAAAUUGAAGUAAUAGGAUUUUGAAGAUUUCAAAAAUCGCGCCACUGGAUACAGGUGGCUGUUACGUAGGUGGGACGCUAGCGUGCCACCCGUGGUGCACUCCAUCAACAGCAGGUGCAUUUCAAGAGCGGCAAAUUUGAAUCCAAAUAAAUGUCAAAAUUCAAAUUUUUCAAACAUACAACUAUUUUACACCCUUUGAAAGAUAAACAUCUCCUUAAUCUAACCACGUUUUACGAUUUCAA
rnacentral:lncRNA from 1 species